GGAAGGGACCCAGUAAGGGAUCUGUUGCGCCACAGGGGUCUCCAGGGCCCUCGCAGGUUGGGGUGGUCUGAGCUAGUCUGAAGGAGGACAGUCAGCUGACUUCUCCUUUAUCUCUCUUUCCCAGGAUAGCAGGUUCCCUUGGUGUAUUACAGUUUCUGAAGUGUUGAUUCCCUUUUCAAUUGAUUCCACAGAUGACAGUCCUGACGUUUAAAAAAUUGCCAGAUAACCUUUAAUUUUUUUUUUUUUAACAGAACACAAACUUAAGCCAGAUUGCCUAGGAUUGAACCUUGGCCUCUCACUUCCUAGACGAGUGGCCUUGGCUAGUUAACCACCUUCGUGAGCCUCAGUUUUGUCAUCUGUAAAAUGGGAGUCAUAAGUGUCUACCUCACAGAGCUGUGAUUGAAAGGAUAAAUAGCACCUUGCACAUAGCGGUGUAGAAGUGCUUGUUAUUGUUAAUAUUUUAUUUACCUUCACGCAGUGGCGGAAGUGGAGUAAGACAUCAUGUUGCCUCAAGUUUAAUUGGAAAUCGCGUGCCUUGUGAAGAAUGGACACUCAGUAGAUGCUUAUUGAUGAACCUGUUGGUUGAGGAUAACUCGCUAACUUUUCUGAGCUUUGUUGGAAAAACUAGACAGGGGUCUCACUAUGUGAUGCAGGAUGAUCUCAAACUCCCUGGCCUCAAGCGAUCCUCCUGCCUUGGUCUCCUAAAGUGCUGGGAUUACAGCAGGUCACUGUAUCUCUAUGCAUUACAGAAAAUGGCUAGUUAAAAACUUGUCAAGGCCAGUUGCAGGCAUGAUACCAGCAGUCUGGGAGGUAGAGACAAGAGGACACAUCUCUGCUGCUCCCUUCUUUCCCCAUGGUUAUGCGCCAACUUUGGUUUCACCAGGCCUACAGUGCUUCCCAGGUUUGGAGUGUGGGGAAGGAGAAGAUUUAAUGGAAGCAGCUUAAGGGAAAUGCUCAAACUAAACUGAUACUUUCUUCAUGAUCUAGCAUUGAAACUUUCUGGACUUGACAGAUAUUUAAAAUUAACUCUUUUUCUCAUUAACAUUUUCAUGGGUUCUUCCAAGAUCCACAUUACCCAACCUGUGGGUUCCCAUGACAAGGAUUAAGGCAUCUCUGUUUCUUCUGGACCUUUAUUUACCUGGAUUCUUUCUCUAGGGACUGUUUACCCUUAUGGGCCAUCCUUUUGAGCAUAACCUAACAAGAUUCAUGCUGGCUUUAAGUGAGUGGUCCACAUUUGGUUCAUGGGAAAACCACAUAGUUUGUCCCCAGCAAACCUGGAAGUAAUAUUUAUUUUACUGCUGGAAUUAAGGAAAACCAAAAAUCCUAUUACAAAAUGGCUCCUCUAAACAUUCACAUUACCCCUUUUUGUCUCUACCCCCUGAGGAACUAACCAACUCUAGCUCUUUGGAUUUUCCAAAUGAGAGGUCAACACAUCGAUGUCUCCAAGACCUUAAGUUCUUCUAGUGGUCUCUUUAAGCUUCCUCCCUUGAAUUAUGGUGAAAAGGGACUGCCUGCUACCCCCUCCUCUUGAGGAGAGGGGUGGUAUCACAGCCUAACAAUAAUUUCCAAAAAUUUUCUCCUCCAGCUCUAAUGCUUAACCAGUUUAGACUUUCAAAGUGGAUAAUGUAAUUUAAAGCCUUACAGCUAGUUAUGCUCUACUUCUUCUAUAAGUCCUGCAACCAGGUGGUCUCAAUCCUCACUUGCGAAUACUGCAUUUACUCACCUUGUGCCCUAGCCAAAACUUCCACAACAAAUUCUGUGGUGCAUUUAAGUGAAAGAUGUUAUUUGAUUGAUAGAGAGAUAGAUAGAUAGAUACAGAUAUAGAUAUAGAUAUGUAUUAGAACCAUGUCAAAUGGUUAACUUUUUUAAAAAGGUAAAUUUUUUAUAUUGAGAUAAUUAUAGAUUCUCAUACACUCGUAAGAAAUAACACAGAAAGAUCCCAUGUAGCCUUUAUCCAGUUUCCCCAGUGAUAAUAUCUUGCAAAACUAUAGUCCAAUAUCACAACCAAGAUACUGGCAUUGAUAGAUCACUUCCAUCACCACAAACAUCCCUCAUGUUGCCCUUUUAUAGCCACACUCAUUUCCCUCCUGCUGCCACCCUCUCCUUUACCCAUAACCACUUAUCUGUUCUCUAUUUUUGUAAUUUUAUCAUUUCAAGAAUACUGUAGAAAUGGAAUAAUACAGUAUGUAUUUUAGGGCUUAUCUUUUCUACACUCGGCAUGAUUCUCUGGAGAUUCAUCCAGGUUGUUGCAUGUAUCAAUAGUUCAUUCCUUUUUUACUGCUGAACAGUAUUCCAUUGUAUGUAUGUACCAUAGUUUAACUAUUUGCUCAAUGAAAGACAUAUAUUAAUAGUUUCCAGUUUUUGCUGUUAUGAAUAAAGC
ensembl:lncRNA METTL14-DT METTL14 divergent transcript